UCUCUCGUAGCUUAGUGGUCAGAUCAUUGGUGCGUAAAGCUAAAGGUCCCGAGUUCGACUCUCGGCGAGGGUG
rnacentral:tRNA from 1 species